rnacentral:rRNA from 1 species
AUUGAACGCUGGCGGCAGGCCUAACACAUGCAAGUCGAACGAGUGGCGGACGGGUGAGUAAUGUCUGGGAAACUGCCCGAUGGAGGGGGAUAACUACUGGAAACGGUAGCUAAUACCGCCUACCAUCGGAUGAGCCCAGAUGGGAUUAGCUAGUAGGUGGGGUAAAGGCUCACCUAGGCGACGAUCCCUAGCUGGUCUGAGAGGAUGACCAGCCAGACGUGGACGUAGAAACGGACCAGAUUCCUACGGGAGGCAGCAGGGGGGAAUAGUGCGCAAUGGGAGAAAGCCUGAGGCAGCCAACCCGCGUGAAUGAAGAAGGCCUUAGGGUUGUAAAGUACUGUCAGUGGCGAGGCGUUAACCGCAGAAGAAGCACCGGGUAACUCCGGGCCAGCAGCCGGGGUAAUAC